ACUCCUACGGGAGGCAGCAGUGGGGAAUAUUGCACAAUGGGCGAAAGCCUGAUGCAGCGACGCCGCGUGAGGGACGAAGGCCUUCGGGUUGUAAACCUCUUUCAGCAGGGAAGAAGCGAAAGUGACGGUACCUGCAGAAGAAGCACCGGCUAACUACGUGCCAGCAGCCGCGGUAGUACGUAGGGUGCAAGCGUUGUCCGGAAUUAUUGGGCGUAAAGAGCUCGUAGGCGGUUUGUCGCGUCUGCCGUGAAAACUCAGGGCUUAACCCUGAGCCUGCGGUGGGUACGGGCAGACUAGAGUGUGGUAGGGGAGAUCGGAAUUCCUGGUGUAGCGGUGGAAUGCGCAGAUAUCAGGAGGAACACCGGUGGCGAAGGCGGAUCUCUGGGCCAUAACUGACGCUGAGGAGCGAAAGCAUGGGGAGCGAACAGGAUUAGAUACCCUGGUAGUCCAUGCCGUAAACGUUGGGCGCUAGGUGUGGGGCUCAUUCCACGAGUUCCGUGCCGCAGCUAACGCAUUAAGCGCCCCGCCUGGGGAGUACGGCCGCAAGGCUAAAACUCAAAGGAAUUGACGGGGGCCCGCACAAGCGGCGGAGCAUGCGGAUUAAUUCGAUGCAACGCGAAGAACCUUACCAAGGCUUGACAUACAGAGAAAACUGUCAGAGAUGGCAGGUCCUUACGGGCUCUGUACAGGUGGUGCAUGGUUGUCGUCAGCUCGUGUCGUGAGAUGUUGGGUUAAGUCCCGCAACGAGCGCAACCCUCGUUCUAUGUUGCCAGCGGAUAAUGCCGGGGACUCAUAGGAGACUGCCGGGGUCAACUCGGA
rnacentral:rRNA from 1 species